UACGUAGGGGGCGAGCGUUGUCCGGAUUUAUUGGGCGUAAAGAGCGUGUAGGCGGCCAUGUAGGUCCGGUGUGAAAACUCGAGGCUUAACCUCGAGAUGUCAUCGGAAACCAUUUGGCUAGAGUCCGGAAGAGGAGAGUGGAAUUCCUGGUGUAGCGGUGGAAUGCGCAGAUAUCAGGAGGAACACCGGUGGCGAAGGCGGGUCUCUGGGCCGAUACUGACGCUGAGGAGCGAAAGCGUGGGGAGCGAACAGG
rnacentral:rRNA from 1 species